GGCGGGGUAGCUCAGGCGGUUAGAGCGCAGGAUUCAUAACCCUGAGGUCCGGGGUUCAACUCCCCGCUCCGCUACAA
rnacentral:tRNA from 1 species